rnacentral:rRNA from 1 species
UAAGUGAAACGAGAAGACCACGAGUUAUGAUCCAGAGUACCACGAGACACGUGAAACCUUGUGGGAAGCAGGGAGGACCACCUCCCAAGGCUAAAUACUACCUGAUGACCGAUAGUGAAGCAGUACCGUGAGGGAAAGGUGAAAAGAACCCCGGGAGGGGAGUGAAAUAGAACCUGAAACCGUGUGCCUACAACCGCUCAGAGCCCCUUAUGAGGGUGAUGAGGUGCUUUUUGUAGAACGAGCCAACGAGUUACGGUAUGUAGCAAGGUUAAGUACUUAAGGUACGGAGCCGAAGGGAAACCGAGUCUGAAUAGGGCGACUAGUUGCAUGCCGUAGACCCGAAACCGGGUGACCUAUCCAUGGCCAGGUUGAAGCGAGGGUAAAACCUCGUGGAGGACCGAACCACGUUGCUGUUGAAAAAGCAUGGGAUGAGCUGUGGAUAGCGGAGAAAUUCCAAUCGAACCCGGAGAUAGCUGGUUCUCUCCGAAAUAGCUUUAGGGCUAGCGUCGAGUAUGAGUAGUGGAGGUAGAGCACUGAAUGGGCUAGGGGGCAUAGCGCUUACCGAACCUUAUCAAACUCCGAAUGCCACAUACUUUGAGCUCGGCAGUCAGACUACGAAUGAUAAGAUCCGUGGUCAAAAGGGAAACAGCCCAGAUCGUCAGCUAAGGUCCCAAAGUGUAAGUUAAGUGGGAAAGGAUGUGAGAUUUCUAAGACAACUAGGAUGUUGGCUUAGAAGCAGCCAUUCAUUAAAAGAGUGCGUAAUAGCUCACUAGUCGAGAGAUCUUGCGCCGAAAAUGUAACGGGGCUAAACUUACC